rnacentral:lncRNA from 1 species
AUGUGUCAUGACGUCACACACGCGCUGCGUUGUUUUAGUUCAGAACACAGCGAACAUGGCGUCGAGGCAGAACCAUUUCGUCAAAGGGGGGACUACCUCCAAUAUGCAGAAACAUUUGGCCACACAGCAUCAAUUCAUUUGCAGGACUGUCGCGUGUUUGAUACACUACUACCUAGCGACACAAGUGAGUCAAGCCGCAGCGGAGCUAACGGGACGCCAUCUGUUAUCAAUGCCGAAGUUGUUGCAUCCUACGGGGGAUCAAUAAAGGCCAGGACUGCACGCCAGAUUCACAGCGAGUCUCGCCGUGAAGAGGGAACAAAUUUAUCUUGGCAUUUACUUUCUGGCUGCAGCAGAACAAGUCUUCACUUCAUCGUCUAGCUGUCGAGUAGUUUCUGCACUACGACAAAAACAGUGAUUUUAUCUAGCAUGGAGUGACACAGUCUGUUUUGUGUUUUGUUUGUGUGUUGGUGUGAAUAUGUGAAAGAAGUGAAAUUAAAAAAAAUAUUGUUUGUUGGUUCUUCCAAACGUAUUUUUUGUUUUUAGAAAUGUCUUAAAAAGUUUCCAUUCGCUCCAAUUUUGUGCAGCAUGACAUUCCAAGUGAGAGAUGGCACACGGACUGUCAAUGUCCAGUGGAAACUUUAUAAAAUGUUAACUUUUUGGAAAGAAAACAUCUUGUUUAACUCAGCACAGAUUAUCUAGUGGGUUUUGAAAGGUUGUCUUCAGUCCAAGGACGGUAAAACUUUCUGAAACUGUGCCAUGAAAAUCUCCAAGAGUUACACAAAGCUUGCC